rnacentral:rRNA from 1 species
GAUGAACGCUGGCGGCGUGCCUAAUACAUGCAAGUCGAGCGAACGGACGAGAAGCUUGCUUCUCUGAUGUUAGCGGCGGACGGGUGAGUAACACGUGGAUAACCUACCUAUAAGACUGGGAUAACUUCGGGAAACCGGAGCUAAUACCGGAUGAUAUUUUGAACCGCAUGGUUCAAAAGUGAAAGACGGUCUUGCUGUCACUUAUAGAUGGAUCCGCGCUGCAUUAGCUAGUUGGUAAGGUAACGGCUUACCAAGGCAACGAUGCAUAGCCGACCUGAGAGGGUGAUCGGCCACACUGGAACUGAGACACGGUCUAGAAUCCUACGGGAGGCAGCAGUAGGGAAUCUUCCGCAAUGGGCGAAAGCCUGACGGAGCAACGCCGCGGGAGUGAUGAAGGUCUUCGGAUCGUAAAACUCUGUUAUUAGGGAAGAACAUAUGUGUAAGUAACUGUGCACAUCUUGACGGUACCUAAUCAGAAAGCCACGGCUAACUACGUGC